rnacentral:rRNA from 1 species
UACGUAGGGGGCAAGCGUUGUCCGGAAUUAUUGGGCGUAAAGCGCGCGCAGGCGGUCCUUUAAGUCUGAUGUGAAAUCUUGCGGCUUAACCGCAAGCGGUCAUUGGAAACUGGGGGGCUUGAGUACAGAAGAGGAGAGCGGAAUUCCACGUGUAGCGGUGAAAUGCGUAGAUAUGUGGAGGAACACCAGUGGCGAAGGCGGCUCUCUGGUCUGUAACUGACGCUGAGGCGCGAAAGCGUGGGGAGCAAACAGG